AGGGGUGUAGUUCAGUUGGUCAAACAUCGAUCUGAAAAAACCUCGUGUCGUGGGUUCAAGUCCUGCCACCCCUGCCA
rnacentral:tRNA from 1 species